AUUGGAAUGGGCGCAGCCUGACUCAGCAACGCCGCGUGGAUGAUGACGGCCUUCGGGUUGUAAAAUCCUUUUCUGGGGGAAGAUAAUGACGGUACCCCAGGAAUAAGUUCCGGCUAACUACGUGCCAGCAGCCGCGGUAAAACGUAGGGGACAAGCGUUAUCCGGAUUUACUGGGCGUAAAGCGCAUGUAGGUGGCUUGCCAAGUUGGACGUGAAAGCUCCCGGCUUAACUGGGAGAGGUCGUUCAAAACUGGCCGGCUUGAGGUUGGAAGAGGAGAGCGGAAUUCCCGGUGUAGUGGUGGAAUGCGUAGAUAUCGGGAGGAACACCAGUGGCGAAAGCGGCUCUCUGGUUCAAUACUGACACUGAGAUGCGAAAGCGUGGGGAGCGAACGGGAUUAGAUACCCCGGUAGUCCACGCUGUAAACGAUGGAUACUAGGUGUAGGGGGCAUUAACCCCCUCUGUGCCGAAGCCAACGCGUUAAGUAUCCCGCCUGGGGACUACGGCCGCAAGGUUAAAACUCAAAAAAAUUGACGGA
rnacentral:rRNA from 1 species